AAUGAACGUUGGCGGCGUGGAUUAGGCAUGCAAGUCGAGCGUGUACCCCGCAAGGGGGAAAGCGGCAAACGGGGUAGGAACGCGUAGGUCACGUACCCUUCGGCCGGGGAUAGCCACGGGAAACUGUGGGUAAUACCCGAUGACGCCGAGAGGCCAAAGGUGUGAUUCCGCCGGGGGAGCGGCCUGCGUAGUAUUAGCUAGUUGGCGAGGUAACGGCUCACCAAGGCGAAGAUGCUUAGGGGGUGUGAGAGCAUGAUCCCCACCACUGGGACUGAGAUACUGCCCAGACACCUACGGGUGGCUGCAGUCGAGAAUCUUCGGCAAUGGGGGCAACCCUGACCGAGCGACGCCGCGUGUGGGAUGAAGGCCCUUGGGUUGUAAACCACUGUCAGAGGGGAUGAAACGCCGAUGGGUCCUCCCAUCGGUCUGACAUAGCCUCAGAGGAAGCACGGGCUAAGUUCGUGCCAGCCGCCGCCGUAA
rnacentral:rRNA from 1 species